ensembl:lncRNA
CUUUUUUGUAUGUGUGUGAGAUAGAUUGGCCCUGAGCUAACAUCUGUUGCCAAUCUUCCUCUUUUUUUUUCCCCCCAAAGCCCCAGUACGUAGUUGUAUACCCUAGCUGAAGGUCACUCUAGUUCCUUUAUUGAGAUGCCACCACAGCAUGGCUUGAUGACAGGUGUGUACGUCUGCUCCCAGGAUCCUAACGGGUGAACCCUGGGCCACAGAAGCAAAGUGCACAAACUUAACCACUUGGCCACGGGUGGCCUCUAUUUUCCACAUAUUACCAUCUCUCAUAUCAAGAUGUAUUUCAGUGGACAGAGUCUUAGUGUUGCAUUAUAGUUUAAUUGGAAGCAUUUUUCUUUCUUGGUGAUGCAUAAAAUAAUGGUGCAUCUUACAAUCAAUGGCAUCUUAGAUGUGAUGAAAUAUGGAUAGAUGGCCAGUCCUUCACAGUAGACCCAAUCUUCACCCUUUCCCUUUUUCCGUUCCUCGCCCUUUUUCUGCUCUGCUUUGUAGAGAAGCGGGUUCUGACUCGAUAGACUGUAUUCUCAGGCUUCCUGGUUCCGGAGCUUCCAGCUAAGCUCAGCCAAUGGGAGACAGCAAUGGGAGCCGCCCCUUUCCCAGCCACUCCAUCUCGCCCCCUUGAGUAGCAUCUCUGGCAGUAGCUGGUUCUCCCUCUGCGUCAUUAGGGGAUCCCAGCCACUGGGCUCCUGUAACAUAGCCCCCUUCCAGGAAGUAUCUAGUCUCUAGCCUAGUGGUGGUGACUGAUGGCUACUUGCUGCUGCUAAUCUCUGAGUUGCCUCACCACCUCUGUUUAGCUUUUCAACAGUUCAACUCCCCGUUGUAGCCAAUCCUCUAAAUGAAAUUCUCCUCUACUUUAAAUACUUAGAUGGAGUUCUGUUUACUGGGUGGGCUCUGCCUGACACUACUGGCCUUCAAACCUAGAUUUGCACUUCCUAGCACAUACCACAGCCUAUCAGCUCUCAGAUUCUAAAAAGAGGAACGACAUAGUAAAUAAAGAAAUGUCAUGGUGGUUUCUUAUCAGGAAGCCAUAGACUCAUUGAGAGCCAGCAGAAUUAUUGCAAAGGAUACAGGAAUCCACUUGUGCACCAAGCAUUGUCAGGAAAUUGACUAAAUAUCUUUCAGACAAUGCAUUCCUAAAUGAUACUAUCAGAAAGCCGGAUAUUUCCUCUAGUACAAGAGGUAAACCUGUGGCCAAGCAAAGCCCACCUGAAGGAAGGGGACAAAGGUGAGACCUGGUUGGGGAGAUAAAGCAGAAAAAAAAAAAAAAAAGAUUGGCAUCAGUUGUUAGCCCAGGUGCCAAUCUUAAAAAAAAUAAAAAGAUGGUCACUUGGCGUGAAGUGGAUAUUUCUUGAUUGCCUUUCUAGCAUCCACUCUCUAUAACGGGUCCAUCUUGGUUUGGAAGGGCUCAUCUCUCACAUACUCUACCCAUGUGGUCCAACUGGACCUUCACAACCUCCCAUCCAGAGGCAGAGCAUGUGACCCAUGUCUAAGGCAAUCAGCACGUGGUGUCUUGCUGGUAACAGUGAUUAAUUGAUUCAAGGGGAGAUCAAUCAGAGUGAAUCCCAGCACACUUUUGAGGGAGCUUCUAGAAAAGAGACUCUCUCUUUCCCACUGGACUGGAGUCUCAAAGGAUGCACGAGAGAGUUGCUGGCAGCCACCUUGCCACCAUGUGGCCUGAGGAUGAAGUCAAUAUGAAGGAGAGCAGAGCUGAGAGAUAGAGAAUGUUUGACCCCUGAUUACAGCCACAUCUGAGAUCAGCUCUAACCCUGGUCUUUUCAGUUAUAAAAGUCAACAAAUUCC